rnacentral:rRNA from 1 species
CCUACGGGUGACAGCAGUGAGGAAUAUUGGUCAAUGGCCGGAAGGCUGAACCAGCCAUGCCGCGUGAAGGUCAGUGCCCUAUGGGCUUUAAACUUCUUUUGUGCGGGAGCAAUAAUGGUCACGUGUGGCCAGACGAGAGUACCGUACGAAUAAGCAUCGGCUAACUGCGUGCCAGCAGCCGCGGUAAUACGGGGGAUGCACGCGUUAUCCGGAUUUAUUGGGUUUAAAGGGUGCGUAGGCUGUGAGGUAAGUCAGCGGUGAAAUGACCCCGCUCAACGGGGUGAAGUGCCAUUGAUACUGGCUUGCUGGAAUGCGGAUGCCGUGAGAGGAAUGUGUGGUGUAGCGGUGAAAUGCAUAGAUAUCACACAGAACACCGAUUGCGAAGGCAUCUCACGAAUCCGCGAUUGACGCUGAUGCACGAAAGCGUGGGUAUCAAACAGGAUUAGAUACCCGGGUAGUC